rnacentral:sRNA from 1 species
GUGGUGAGAAUUGAGUAACACUUCAAUAUUUUUAGAAGAUUGUGUAUUUCAAACAAAGUUCAGUUUCAUCAAGUUUUGUAUUUUUCAGGUAUUGGAAAUUAUGCCCUUGCUCAGCACUGUUUCAUCAAAUCAAUCCAGUCAGAACAAAUUAAUGCUGUUGCAUGGACCAACUUGGGAGUGUUAUACCUCACAAAUGAAAAUAUUGAGCAAGCUCAUGAAGCUUUCAAAAUGGCCCAAUCCCUUGAUCCAUCUUAUUUAAUGUGCUGGAUUGGACAAGCUCUUAUUGCUGAGGCAGUUGGAAGUUAUGACACCAUGGAUCUUUUCAGGCACACUACAGAACUAAAUAUGCAUACCGAAGGAGCAUUAGGUUAUGCGUAUUGGGUCUGCACAACAUUGCAAGAUAAAAGCAACAGAGAAACAGAGCUGUACCAGUACAACAUCCUCCAGAUGAAUGCUAUUCCAGCAGCACAAGUUAUUUUGAAUAAAUAUGUAGAAAGAAUUCAGAAUUAUGCCCCAGCUUUCACAAUGUUGGGUUACUUAAACGAACAUCUACAACUGAAAAAGGAAGCAGCAAAUGCAUACCAAAGACUGCAGAAGACCAAGAUACUUACAAUGUUGCAAUAAGAAAUUACGGCAGAUUGUUAUGUUCCAUUGGUGAAUAUGAUAAAGCUAUCCAGGCUUUUAAGUCAACACCCCUUGAAGAGUUAGAAGACAUCAUAGGUUUUGCAUUGGCUUUAUUCAUGAAGGGGCUUUAUAAAGAGAGCAGCAAAGCCUAUGAGAGAGCCUUGUCUAUUGUUGAAUCAGAGCAAGACAAAGCCCAUAUCUUGACAGCUCUGGCAAUAACUGAAUAUAAACAAGGAAAAAUGGAUGUA